rnacentral:rRNA from 1 species
CGUGUAGGCGGCUUGACAAGUCAGAUGUGAAAUUCCUGGGCUUAACCCAGGAAGUGCAUUUGAAACUGUUUGGCUGGAGUAAGGGAGAGGAAAGUGGAAUUCCUGGUGUAGAGGUGAAAUUCGUAGAUAUCAGGAGGAACACCGGUGGCGAAGGCGACUUUCUGGCCCUAUACUGACGCUGAGACGCGAAAGCGUGGGUAGCAAACAG